rnacentral:lncRNA from 1 species
CUCAUCUUCUCAAUCUCUUUGUCUUCUUCUUCCUCUGUGUUUCUCGAAUUCAUAACUAUGGCUUUCACAACUUCCCUUAAAGGAAUCUUAAGUUUCUUUCCUCCACCUUCCUUCUUCGCUGCAGAUUCCAGAGGAACAUCACUCUGCUUCUCCGCCGAAACCUCAACCGUCGGAUCUGCAACAUCUUCCUCUAAAUCAACGGUGUCCACGCUUUCCUCCGGAGUGACGCAUCGAAUCGCCUGACUCUCCACCGCAUCGUUACCCGAGCCGAUUACACUAUCCUUAUCCGUAUCCGAAUCACCGGAUGAACGCUGAUAUGGAAUUCCGUCGUUUAACGGUGGCGGUGAGACUCCGACGGAGGGAUCGGAAUCUGGAGGUGGUUGACCUGGUACGGCAAAACCGCAUCGCUGUAGAUAAAUCUCCUGAGACGCAGAUACAUUGCAAUCUUCGAAAAUCGAACCAAUGUUUUUCUUUUUCCCUUUCAUUUUCCUCUG